rnacentral:lncRNA from 1 species
GGAGACAGGUGAUUUAUUGAUUAUUUGUGAUGAUAUCUGUUGUCUAAUCUUGUUUAUUAUUUAAUUGGAUUGAUGAUGAUGAUUUUUAGGCGGAGGGAACUAAGCCGGAGGAAGAAGAGGAGUCUGAGAAGUCUAUGUCAGAGGUGAAUGAUGAGGAUGAUGAUGAAGAAGGCAGUGCUGAGGUUUGUUUUUGGGAUGUUUUGAUUUUGAGUUUGACUUGUUAUCAUUGUUAUGUGGUUUUUCUUGAAUUUGUUUGUUGAUUUAUUGUUUUUGGUUUUGUGCAGGAGGAUGAUGAUGAAUAGAAGUUGAAGGAAGAAAUUAGCAUAGUCAUGUUAGGCUGUGACAAUGUUUCAAACAACAUAUGUUAAUGCUUUGUGCUUCCAUGUUAAUUUUUUUGGAUGCUUUCAUCAUCUUCAUCACCAUGUAAGAGAAUCAUGUUGCUUCUCCCUCGUCAUUUUCUUAUGCCUGCCUUUCAAAGAAUUAAUAGCUGUAGGUGGGAGAUUCACUGCUCUAUAUGUACUGUGUUCUAAAGCUUAAUGAUUUAGUUAAGGCGUUUCAUCGUUUGUAGAAAAAUCCCAUGUUUUUUUUAUGAUAAUGGUGGUGAUGGUUCUUUCUUAUCUUUUGUAAUGCUAAGGAAAUUAGUUACAUUUGCUAAAGUUAUUCUUUAAUGCAUUUGCAUGGUUAGGUCAUGAUUGGAUUGCAUGAUGUCAUAUGGCUUAUGAUUGAGCAGCUUGGAUGCUGAAGUAUGUUUUUAAUGAAUGGAAUGUCUUAAAAUAAUUCAUUGUGAUAAUAAGCACAUUGAAGUGCUAAAUUGUUUGUCAGUCUCUGGCUGCAAAUUGGUAGAGUAGAAUUCAUCCUUUGUGGCAUUGCCAGUGCUAAAUUUCAAGCAUUCAAGUGCAGUAUAAAUUAUCUUUUCUGGUUACAGUAUGUUUGGUGCCUUUUGCCUAAUCACGAAGUUAUUGUUUGGCUCAGAAAAAUGUUAUGCUUCGGCUCCUUUAUGCAGUUUUGGGGAAAAACCUUUUUGACUUUUUACUUGAAGAUGGUGCUACUGGACAAAAAGUAUUUGCUGUUUUGCUCGCUGUGAUUAAUAGAUUAAACGGCCAAGCAAUUACUAGUCAUUCGUGGCUUGGGUUAAUAUUUACAAAUUGGAAUGUUGGAUGGUUCAGCUAUAUAUGAAUGAUCGAUUUUCGAAAUAUAUGUACUUUAUUUACCAUCCCUAAUAAGUAAUCAAUUGUUAUUUCCAGCUUCAUUUUGUUCUAGUUUUAAAAUUGGUAUCGAUUUAAAGCAUGAUAUUUAUUAGCUAAUUUAUUGGCAAUAAAUUAUGAAUAGUGUAGUGUAUGAAAAUAUUUGAAGAAAACAGUAAAAAAAGGGUAUUUGGGUAAAUAUUAUUUAAGGUAACAUAUUAUUAUGACAGGCUAAUCAAGGUAUAUUUGAUUGUUAACGAUGAAGCAAGUACAAAUAGAUCUGUAUGUGUCGAUAAUAAAUGGUUGUAAUUUGAAUUUAUUGAGUGAUUGAAUUGGCGCGGUUGGUAGGAAAGAUAUUUCAUAAAAAGAAAAUAAAAAUACCCACGCCAGCCACGGACACACAAAGACAAUGGGAAACCUAAAAAAUUAAGAGUAUUCAGUCAUAAAUUUUGGUAUAAAUUUAUUUUGUAUAAAUUAAUAUAAUAUUAAUUUAUUAAUUAAAUAAAAAUAUAAAAUAAUAAAAAUAAAUUAUGUGAGUUAAGUAAUAUUUAAUUUAAUUAAUUUUAUCAUGUCAUAUCUAACAAUAGCCUAAUAAAAAGAAUACCAAUUAUAAAUAUUUUUUCUCAAAAUUAUCGGCAAAAUCCACAAAAGAAUAAUUUUUAUAUACAUGAACCUGUCAAAAAAUUGUCACUCUAAACAGGAUCAUCAACGUUCAUCAAAAAGAUAAACUUGAUUUAAUUCAUCGACCUCAAAAUAAUUACUAGCCUUUUUGAAAAUUGAUCAUUAUUCAUAAACCAAACGUUAUGAAAAAUUAAUUAUUGUUGCUCCAUAAUCAUAACCCCAGCAAGAGAAAUCAAAAUCAGUCAAUAACCCCAUUAUUUUCAUUUUUCAAAUCAGCAGCAGCGGCUUUCGAGGGAGAGGAAGAAAGGCCAGUUGCCUAGGGACUUUUCUAGCCCGUAAUCCACCAUGUAUUUUUCAUUUUUUUUAAUAAUCUAACAGCCGUUCGAUUUCUGACUCUAUACCCAACGGUAAACUAUUAUUUGUCCGUUAGUUACGGUUUUCCGUAACCUAGCCGAGUCCCCCUUUUAAAUGUAUUGACAGAACAGAUAAGUGAUAUUUUUUCGGUAUUGGAAGCAGAUUUUUGAGUUUAGUGCCAGCAGAAUCUAAACUCUUUCAGAGCUAGAUAUUUAGAAUAAAAUAUUAAUAUAUUGUAAAUAUCUUCACUCAUUAUCGAGUCGGAUAUGAUGGAUGUUGGGCACAUGAGCAACGGACGGCCAUCUCACAAAUUUAACGAAUUGUCGCGGCGCAGCGUGGUUUAAAGUUAUUCCUCUGUUUGUUAAACCUGUACUCCAUUCUCCAUUCAAACGACUGUUAAAUUUGACAAAGAAAAAUAAUCAUAAUAUUAACAACGUUGGGGAUAACUUAGCCAUUUUCUAUCUCUUUGAUAUAUAUACACAUUUUUCACGUUUGUUGAUCUUAAAACCAUUUGCCAUCAUCAUUUGGUCAAAAUUUUCUUAAAACCAUUUUGCAUCAUCCUAUUGUCAAAUUUCUCAUGUUAAUUUCAAGCCACGAUGACUUUACUAAUUUACAGAUUUUUUUUUUUUUUUAAAGACUGUUCCAUAUAAAUUUCUUCAUCUAAGUCCUCGUUUAAAAAUAUUUUUUUUACAUCCAUUUAAGUACUUCAAGAUUACAUAAAGUUGCAAUUGCAAGUACCAUCUUAAUAUAAUUUAUUCUCGUUACAGAAGAAUAUAUAUCAAAAUCAUCAAAGCCUUUCUAUUGCUUAUAACCUUUAAUUAUAACUCUAACCUUAUAUUUGUUAAUUGAUCCAUCAAGUUUCAUUUUUUCCUUGAUAUCACAGAGGUUUGCACCCUAAAGAAAGUUCCACAAACAUUUAAGCAUGAUUUUGUAAGAUAGAUUCAAUUUCAUUGUUAAUGGCCUCUUUUCACAAAGUGCCUUAUGGUGAAAUUAUAAAUCUUCCUUGAAGCUUUGAGGUUCACUUUCCAAUAGAAAUGUUAGAAAAUCUAGAUCAAAAUAUUUUUCUAUACUAGCUCUUUUGCUACAUUUAAGUUCAAUCUCAACCUAUUAUUCAUAUUCUUAAAUUUCUUCUUGUUCUAGGUCAUGACUAUCUUCAACGAUAGGCUCAUGUGUUCAUUUAAUUGAACUUGAAUCAUCUUUGAAUUUACGAGUAAAUACUUGUUAAAAAAAUUAUGCAUUUCCUAAACAAUAGUUUUUGGUUUUAUCUUCAUCUUCGUAGGUGGAGAAAUGACCACUUCAGCAAGACACCCCAACACUCAUAAGAAUUUAUAGCAAGUUACUCUAUAUUUCAAUAAUGCGUAAGGAAUUAUCUCUUUUUCCUUUUAGGAAACCUUAUUUAAAAGUAAUUAGCUAAUAAACAACUUCUCUUUACAUAUCUUAAGGUAACCCGGAACCUAUCAAUAUUGCAUUCAUCAUUUCUUUCAAAGUAUGAUUUUUUUGUUAAGUAAUCGAAUUAGAUUGAGAUGAAUAAGAAGUUGUGAUUUGAUGUAUAACUCCAUAUUGUUAAUAGAGUGAUCCAAAUGGAACAACAUAUUCACCACCAUGAUUUCUUCUUAACACCUUCAUUUUUUUGAUUGGUUGAUUCUCAACUUUAUUUUAUAGAGAAUAAAUUUAUAAAUUAAUUCGUCUUUACUUUUCAACAAAUACACAUAACAAAUUAGUAAAAAUAAAAAAAAAUUAUGCAUUUCUUAAUUAGAAUAUUAUAUUUCUAUGAAUAUAUGGUGUAUUCCACUUAUACACUAUAAAUCAAGAUGGAGGAAUGAUCACUUUAGCAAGAUACCCUCACACUUGUAAAUAUUUAUUAGAUGGCGUUGUACCUUUCUGUAAUUCAUAAGAGGUUUUCUCUAUUUCCUUUCAGAAUACUUUAUUUAAAAUGUAAUUAAAUAACUUCUCCUCACAUAUCUGAGAUAACCCAUAACUUAUCAACAUUGCAUUAAUAAUUUUCUUUUAAGGUAUGAUAUUUUCUUUUAGCAAUCUCGUUAGAUUGAGCUAAAUAAGGAGAUGAGGUUUGGUGUGUGAUUUCUUAUUGUUAACGAAGUGAUCCACAUAGAACAACAUACUUACCACCAUGAUUAUUUCUCAACUCCAUCAUUUUAUUAUUUAGUUGAUUUAGAACUUCAUUUUUAUAUAGAAAAAAUUUCUUUAUAGCUUUGUCUUUGUCUUUCAACAAAUACUUAGAAAAAAAUUCACCCCUCGACUGUAUGGAUUUAAAGCACAUAUAUCGUUAUGUAUAAGAUCAAGUGGUUCAGUGCUCCUUUUAAUUAUUUGAGGGCAUAUGAUUCUCUUAUGUUUUGUAUAAAUUUGUUAGUUUUGCCUCAACACAAGAUUCUCACUUAUGUUUUGUAUAAAUUUGGAAUAAGGAUAUAUGAUCUAUGUUAAUUGAUUUGCGGAAAAAAUGAUAAUUAACAUGUCCUAAUCUACCAUGUAAUAAAUCAAAAGACUCAAGAAAAUAAGGCUAAUAAUGUAGAUCAUAAAGAAAUUGCUUCGUUAUUCUUAUGUUUUACCUUAGCCACAAAAAUGAUAAUUUUCAUGUCAUUAUUUUUGUUGACUUAUUCAAUUUAAAGUCUUAUAAUUAGGCCUUCAAUGCUCAUUUCCUUUCUUUUAUACUUUGGAUAACUGUUCAAGUCUCAAUUUUGUUUCAAUUCAACAGAAAUUGAAUUGAAUGUCCACCCCUAACCUAAGUGUCAAACUUUUUACUUAUCUUACUAGUUACCACUUUAACCAUUGAUGGUUGUUUGAUAUUGAUAAUAUAAAUACCUUUAAUUAUUUAAUUGAUAUUUAUGUUACACUAUACAGAUUUAAUUUCAAUUCAAUUCAAUCCUAGUGUAAUAAAAAGAAAAUGGCAAAAUCACUUUUAGUCUUUUCAUUUUUACUAAAUAAAUGGGUGCGUUUCGAGAUUCAAUUUCUUAUUAACUCAACACGAGUUUGAGUAUUUUAUGAUUAAAAGAGCUCGUGGAGAAUAUUCUGAAUUAUCCAUGCAAGCAUAUUUCCUCAACAUAUAUCUUACUCAAAAUAGGCAUUAUAAUAAUUAUUUUUAUGUUAUUAUUUCAGCAUAUGUAUUGUUAAGCUUUCUUAUCUACUUAAGAGAUUUAGCAUGGGUUGUAAACAAAACAUUUGCGUUAGGUAUACACUGAACUUUCUUAGGGUGCAUUUGGAAGUAAGAUGCUAUAUCUUUUAAGUUGAAGUGGAUAAAACCCAUAACUGUGGAAUAUAAUUGAGAAAAAAAAAAAAGCUGCUAAAACACAGCUGCAAGGAGUUACCAAACAACUUUUAUUUUUGAAUUACACAUCACUUCUAAAUGCACCCUUAAAUUACUCAAUGCUUGUAUUCCUUUUUUUUUUCAAAAAUAAAAAGUAUAAAAAAAGAAAAGCUUCUAAUCAAAAUUAAAGUAUAAUAGAUUAACACGUGUCCAUGUGUUUGCUUCAUCACUAAACACUGCCUCUUUAUUAUUCCCGUUGGAUAUGCCGAGGGCUGAUAGUUUCAUUCAUCUCCAAAGACUCAAACCUUUAGCAUAAAUUACUUAAACAAAAUAUCAGUAGUAAAAUUUCGUUGCUUUUUUUCUCUGUGUAUAUUAAAAAAAUGAAAAACAUAUAACUCUUAACAUCUUAUCUGGCUAGAAUAUGCUCUCACAUUUUGUUUAAUAUUAAUUUAAUAAAUAUCAUACUCCAAAGUCCAAACAUAAGACACAGCCCGUGCACGUUGAAAUUUCAUACCCACUACCCAGCAAAGAGAUAACGUGGGUUUUGUACUAUAUUUAAUUAAUUCCCACUAACCAACCCCUACGUACAAUUAUUAGCCAAUUUUUUUAUUCAAAAUCUUGGUUUAUAAUAUGAUUUUUCAUCUCAUAAACAGAAUGUGCGUAAUUUCCUUUUUUUUUUUAAUUUUUAAAUAAGAAAGUCAUAAUAGUAUAGAAAAAUGUUCUAUUUGAAGUGAAUUAGAUAAUAGUAAGAUGUAAAAACUAAAAUUUUGAAUAUAUAAAAUAUUUGCUAAUACAUUUAUAAAUGUAUUUUAUGCAUUUUCAUAUUUUGAAAAUACUGUGCAUUAGACUCAUUAUCUAUGCUAUUAAAUACAUUAGUUUCUAUAUAAAUAACCAAACAAUCAUGCAUCCAUUUAUCUCCCAUUCAAUUCUAGAGCUGAAUCUUCACGAAUUUCAUUUACUAAAAAUAUUUUUUCUAUGAAUAAAUAAUUACCCAUUAUGUGAGUUACUAUUUAGGAUAAUUUAUUUGUGAACCAGCAUAACUUAAUUAUUUUAAACACUCGUGUAACACACUCAUUAUUCAAAAUAUAAUUAUCUUGCCAUUAACCCUAAAACUUUUGUUUCUAACAUGUUAAAAAAUACUUCGUUGAACAUGCAGCAAAUUAAUUAAAGAAAAACUAUAAAGUAAAGUUAUUUUUUUAAAAAAUUGUUUAAAACUAUAAUUAAUUCCAUUGUUGUAAGUUAUGCUAAAUUUCUUGAAAAUUUUUGUCGAGUGUGAUAAAUAUUUUUAUUGGUGUUUUAAUAAAUUAAUUUAAGUGUUUUAAGUAAAGAUUUUAUUAGUAUUUUAAAGAAUAUACAUCUGUAAAAUUUAAUUCUUUAAAUUUAGUAGAUGACUAUGCAAAGUAGUAAAGUGUUUAAUAAUAAUUUUUAAAAUACAAAUAGUUUCACUCUUUCUGUAUUGUGGUUGUGAAAAUUGGAAGAAUUGAUGCAUAUGUCACCAAUAAAUAUACUAAAAUUAAUGUUUAAUUCGUGAUUAAAAGGGCGAGAUAUUAUUAUUUUUAAAUAAUAUAAAUUUAUUUUGAAGAAUGGAAAAGUAUUUUCGGUUGUGGGGGAGGUGGGCUAUUAUUAUUUUUAAUUAAAGUGUCGGCUUUUGCAAUAAUAAAAGUUGAAAUUUAAAUUUAUGAAUUUUAUAAGAAUUCUUUUAAUACCUUAAUGGGGAUCAGUUAGAAAUUUUAAAUAUAUGUUCUCCGAGCCUCCACUGCUCACGUGCUGGAUCCUCCGCCGGUGGAAAUGGCUAAUGGUAUGAGGUACUGUAACACAAAACAGAAUGGCAUGGAUGGGUUUUCAUGUUGUCAUGCAAUGAAAUAACAUGGCGGACACCGAACAGUCACAUCACAUCCCUCUGACUUGGCAGCCAAUUAAAUAAAGCAAAGCAAGACAAUUAGACAAAGGGCAAAUAUUUUACGCUCCUUUUGCUCUCCGGUUGCAUUAAUUUACAGGACAAUAGGUUCUUUUUCUUUUCCUUUUGCGAAUUUAAAGAUUACACUAGUUUCUCUGAUAAACGGGAUAUCAUUUAACCAAUGACUUGGCAGGGCCUACCCGCCUACGCCUGUGAGUGAUUGUAGUUCAAAAGAAUAAGAAGAGAGUAGAAAUGACUUACCCGCGAGACCCGCAAGUUAUAGCGUUAAUUUGGCACAGUCAACUUUCUAAUUGCAUUAAACUGAGCAAUUAACUCCGCCGCCUGUCAAUUACACACUUUUUGUUUGUUUCCAAAAUAAAUAUAUAAUUCAGAGUGAGUGAGUGUGUGUGUGUGUGUUGGUGAUGGAAUGGUUUCUAUACCCUUACACUCUAAAGUGACUUGUUUCUUCUUCUCCAAUCUAUAAAAUAAAUUUAUUUAUAUAAAAAUGAAAGAAAUGGUUUGAGUUUGGAAGUGGGUAGUCAGGGGGGGAAAAAGAAAAAAGAGAAAAAGCCAAAAAAAGAAAAAGAAAAAGAAAAUUCAUCAAUGAAAAUGGAGUGGCCAAAUUUUCAACAAGGAGGAGAAAUGGAGAGGCAGUUUCAGCAAGAUGGAGGGGACACUAGUAAUGGGUUGUGCGUGAAAGUGAUGACUGAUGAACAAAUGGAGUUGCUCAGGAAACAGAUCGCUGUUUAUGCUAUGAUUUGUGAGCAGCUUGUUCAGAUGCACAAAGUCUUCUCUGCUCAAAAUGAAAUUGCUGGUCUCUUCUCUUUCUCUUUCCUCUUUUAGUGAUUUUGUUUUAUUUUAAUCUUAUUUUGAUUUUUUUUUUUUUGGGGGGGGUGGGUUUGGUGUUUUUCCAUUAGUCAUUGCAAGUUUCUGUUGCUUGAUUUUGCUCUAUGACUUGCUUUCUUAAUUUAGGUGAUACGAUAACAAAUCAGUUGUUUAUACAUGGAAAAUCCCAAAUCAACACGAGCAUAGAAUCUCUGAUUGAUAUAAUGAAGAAAUGAUCAUCUUUAAGUGGAUGUAGAACACUUGCAAAUUCUUUCCUUUUUCGGCAAAGCCACGGCCUCCCCUUAUAUUCCGGAAAGGAAAUUAGAAACUUGCUAUGUCAUAUUCAUAGGCACUGGCCCAGUUUUCUGGGAAAAAAAGAAAGCAUGAUUAUAGUAUAUUUUUUGGAGAAAUUGGAAAUUGAUUUGAGUCUUUUGAAACCCUAUCGGAUACGCUUGUCAACGAGUAUCCAAUUGCUUUUGCUUCAGCAGACUUUCCGUUCUGUUGCACCAUUCACUAGUUUAGCUACUUAUCCCAUCAAAGUCUUGCUAUUAUUCUAGUGAUUCAUUUAUCGAAUCCAAUUCCACUAGGACCUUGCCGUAGGCCCGCAAAAUUUUGAAGCCUUUUUUGUCUUGUAGGAAUGAGAAUGGGGAAUCCAUACUUUGAUCCCUUUGUGGCAUCUGGCAGCCAGAAGCUCACUGCCAGGCAACGGUGGACCCCGACACCUGCACAGCUCCAAAUCCUUGAGCAUGUUUACGAUGAAUGCAAGGGGACUCCUCGCAAGCAGAAGAUCCAGGAUAUGACUGCUGAAUUGGCAAAACAUGGCCAAAUUUCUGAAACAAAUGUGUAUAACUGGUUUCAGAAUAGGAGAGCCCGUUUAAAGAGAAAGCAAUCAGGUGUGGUUCCAAACAAUACAGAAUCAGAAGCAGAGACAGUGACACAUGCUGAAUCCAGGAAGCAAAACCCGGAAAGCAUCCAGUCAUUGGAGGAUUCAGCACCACCACCCAGGGACGAAGAUAUCUAUCCUCAAAGUCCUGAUUUAGGUAAUAAAUUUUUCUGCUUCAAUGUUCCGCACAACAAAUAUAAGCUUAUUUUCAGUCACAUGUAAGUUUAAGAUUCAUGGGCAGUUUUUGUUGCAUGAGAGGUAUGCAACAUUUUUGUUUUUGAUCCUUGUUAGUUAUACUGAUGUCAAUUGGGCGCACGCUCGUACAAAUGAGCAAAAGAUUUCUGAAACAAUCUGGGGUUUUUGUGUAGGAAUUGACCAGAUGAUUGGUAAGAUGGAAAUUCCCGGAAGCUUCAGUUUUCACUGGCAGGUAGACCGAUAUGACAUGCUUGGAUGAUGCCCUUCCAGACGGCAGUAGCUUAAUUGAGGAGGGUGAACAUGUCUUUUUGCUAAGAAAUAUAUGACCUACUAGCUGAAAAUCUACAAAGACAAUUGAACGUCGCCAAACUAUAUUGUUGUUGAAUCUAAAAUACACCUAUAUUCUAAUUCUGAUGAGCUUGGUUUGUUGGAGCUCAAAAAGCUUUCUUAAGUAGUUCAAGUUGAUUGCAUGGAAGAAAUAUUAAUUUGUGACUGCAUCUACCCACGCUUUUGACACCAAGAUAUGUACAUAUAUGCAUAUAAAUACUUAUGUAUGUUAGAUGUUUCUUUUUAGCUUUUGUGCUGAAAUUUACUUAUUCUAGGGAGUGCAAUUCUAAUCUCACCAGUGUGCUAAACAAUAAAUAUGAUGUUUUUAUUAACUAACAUCAUUUUUAUUUACUGAUUACAAGAAGUGCUUUACAACUUACAAAUCAUCCGAAAUGCAACCAGUAUGCCAAAAUUGUACAAUCAAGCUCCUGCUUGUAAUUUCAGAAGUGUGGUAGCUGAACAUUAAUUAGGCUGCACCAGCUGAGCUUGAUGACCAUAAAGGACCAAAAUGGUAAGGAAAUUCUUGGCUUCUCUGCCUCUACUCGUACGUACGUCCAUGGCAUCUACAAAAAGCCAGAAACAGACGAUCGUCUACAAUCUGAUAAUUUUGUGCAACAUACAAAUUCAUAAGGCCAUGUUAGGAUUUGCAAUCCGGCUCUCCAUUAGGAACCCCGGCCUUUCUUUGGUAGUCUCAGCUGCAGGAUUGUGAAAGCUGAAUUUCAGAUUUAUGGCGGGAUAAUGCCCUGUGAUCAAAAGCUGCAAGCAUUUUAUAAAUUAUUUUACCUUUGAUUUUGUGGACCUCCACCCUCCUGAAUCUUCCAGUCUUGGAGAAUAAGAAAAUUUUUCUAUGCAACUGAAAGCAGCGACUUUAUCCAUGGCUGAAUGAGUAAUUGGUGAUGAAUCCUGAAAUCAUACUAAAGUUGUUACGAGGAGGGGAGGGAAAAGCCAUAACUUCAAGCCAACUUGGCACUAUGACAAGUAGAAAAAUGAUGCACAAUGAGAAAAGAAAAUAAGGAAACAACAUAGCAAACUAACCUUGGCCUCUGACUUGAAUUUUCCAGAUUCAGGAUUUCUAAUUUCCAGACGAUCCAAGUAAAACAAUAUCUACACAUAAAGCAAAGUUAGAGAAGGAACCCAUUACGUGACAAAUUGCAAAAACAAUAAGAUUUUGCAUGAAACCUACUUUGUUAAGUAACUGAAAGUUUGAUGCAUUGCUUGCCACUAUCUGAACGCCAAGACAGUUGCUGGGGCUACUGCAGAAGGGACAAAAAAGGGUAUUAUAUACACAUCCAUCCUCUUCACACCAUAUGCCCUGUCCUGAGGCACCUCCAAAAGACUGGUUGGUGAGUAGCUGAUCAACUGAUGAAAUGUCAGUCAUGAUAACAGGUAUGCUUGUUACAUUUGCACACAGUUCCUGUCUUUGUUUCAGAAGAGAUACUAAGUGAGCUUUAGCAGAUGAAGUAACUGAGCACCUAACAUAUCGAUGAUUCUCAGGAAGACCUAAAGGGCUCCUACAGAGUGAACAUGAAAUUUGUAAAGUCUCGUCCAUAACUGGAGUAGAGGACAAAUGUGAUUCAGCACAAUUAUUUGACAUUUUGGAUUUGUUUUUCACAUAAUUGGUUUCCGAAUUAAAUUCAAUUCUCCGAUUUGCUUCUCUGCUUGCCAUUAACAUAAGGUCAACUGAAGGUGAAACCAUGGUUUUCUUCCUUUUUUGGGUAUGUGAAUUAACACUCAAACUCAAAGACGAAUCUCUUUCUGGUGGCAAAUUGCUGGUGUCUCCAGUGACUUCUUUUUCAGGAGUGACUACCAUCUCAGGCUGGGCGCUGGAAGGGACUCGGACCGGAUUUGUCAAAGACUGCGAAUGGACUGAUAAUUGAUCUGGAGAUUGUGUAGAUGCUUGAAAUAUGGUUGAACUAGAGUUCCCAUCCUUAGAUAAGGAUCCAGGACUAGCCAUGGUAUUAUUAUCAUCCAUAGCAGGGGUUUCCUUGACAAGGAGUAAUUCUGGAUCUUCAUUGGAGAAUAGCAUGGAUGAAGCCUCGCAGCACCUGCAGAAAAGAAAAAGUCUUAUAACCCACACAAAGUAAUCAUUGCAGUUUAAAUCAUGUGGCAAGAUAUUCAAAAGAAGCCACCUAUAAACUGUACCAAAAAACAAUUGCUUAAUCCAAGGACUUGAAACACAUUGAUACUUUCUAGAAAUAUUUAACAAGGUUCCCAUGCUUACCUUGAACUUUUCUGCAAACUGCAUUGUGUGUUGAUAUAAUCUUUGCAGCUACUGACUCUAUCUAGCUGGACAAAUUCCUGAACUUCAACCUCAUCUAACAAGUUCAGCCUGGGAAAAGAGUCAUACUUCACUGAAGAGUGUAGCUUCUGUCCAGAAUUGUCAUAACUGUUCAGUUUAUUGUUUUCUUUCCUUGUUGACCCUUUGCUUGAAUCAAUAGAAUGAUUGUUUUUAUCGUUCAUUCUUUCCAGGUCAAUAUAUUCUAUGCAGCUGUUGAUGUUCUGAUCAGUUUGCAAAGAUGUCUGAACUUCAAAAUUACCUUGAAACUUCUGAUGGGAAAAAGGGCCAUACUUGCUUAUAGAUUGUACAUUCUGUCCAGAAUGAUCAGACUUGUUAAGUUCCUGAGUAUUCUGUUUUGUCACCUCUUUGCAUUGAUCCAUAGAAGAGACAUGGUCCACAUCAUUGUCAGAAUUUUCUAAGCCAUUAAACAUUUUCUUGCCAACCCAACCCUGAGAGCAAGUUUUGGCAGGAAAACCAAUUAGUUCAUCCACUGAGUUAUCCAUAUAAAGAAAAGAAAAGUCUAGUGAUACUAGAGAAAGAAAUGGUAAAAGAUGGGACCUUGACAUCUCUGAAAAAAGACUUUAAACCCUCUAGUGAUGCGUCAAAGCUAUCAUACUGUUUAAUGGAUUUCCUUAGCCACUUAGAAAUAUGAGCUCUAUUCCUUUCCUCUUGAAAGCGCUCAUCUGCUUGCCAAUAAAAUGCGGCAUUAUAAUCUCAUUGACAAGGGAUUUGAGCAUCUCUAUUAAAGAGAACAAAGUGGGAUUUACAAAUAUAUGAAAUGUGAAGAUUAAUUCAAAUUUAAGGAAACAACUUGACCUGAGGUAGAUGCUAGGCACAACAUGAACAAAUAAUUCAAAACAGUUACCUAAUAAGAUGAUAGCUCCAUAGUCAAACCUAUGUCUUAUGCAGCGUCCUACAAAAGGAGUAAAAUGCAGUACAAACAAUAGAAUCAUCAAAUGAUGCCAAGAAAAAAUAAGAAGAAAAAAUUUGUCUGUUAUAUGUAAAAACCACCCAGCAAAACCCAGUGGCUGACUAUAAUAAUAAAACCACCCAAGAUAAUAGACAAAGUGCAAUGCUUGACGCAUUGCUUAGCAUACCUAUAGCUUGAUUUAGAGCUCGAAAGGCUUGGUUGCAGUACCACUCAUUACCACUUAGAAGAUUUUUUGAUGAUCUAUAUGUAUCAUUAUAUUUCUUCUUCAAUGAAACUUGAAUAUCAUUUCUGGUAAGAAAUUCACAGGAAUCAGUCCCUGUGACUUGCAAAAUUACAUAAAAAAAGAACAGGUAAGUAUUCUCACAUGUUUGGAAAUGGUAUGCCAACAACUAUCUGAGAAAGUUAAGGACUUCCAAACUCAUGAGAAAAAAACAAUGGGAAUUCUGGCAAGCAUGCAUACAAUUUAAUUUAAUGCAACUCAAGUUGGAGUCCCAUUGCCCGUUAUAUUGGCCAAGUUAAUGUUGAGUCCAAGAUAUUAUUACAACAAAUUUCUUUCCAUUUUUCCAAAGUUGGCCAAAGUGGCAUCACAAUCCUAAUCCAAAAUUAUGCAAAUUAAAAAGCAGAACUCUUGGCCCAGAAAAUUUAAAGAGGAAAAAGGAUACAACCACUCGAGCAUUAUCAUCACUGAAGUCGAUUCCUUCUGAAACCUGCAAACAAAUAUAGCAAUUUAGACAUUUAGUAUAAUACAAAAUGCAGAUUGAACAAAAAAUCAACACAUAAUGCAUCCGCAACCAUAUGAUAAUUGUCAUAUGACAUAAAACAUAAAUUUCACACCUUUCCACGGCAAACUGCAAGGAAACUGGCUCCUUUCUUAUUAGCAUUUUCCUGAGACUCAAUCGUAUUUAAGUCAUUAUUGCCUUCUCUCUUCACUCUUUUCUUUCUCACAACAGCACGUUUACUACCUUGUGAAAUUGAGUUGUAAUAAUGCUUCAAAACAAUCUCAAAGUCUUCCUGGCUUCCCCCUUUUGGCUCUGCACCAACAACCAAGACAAUAAGCAUAAGACUCCAACUAAAUAGUAGCCAAGAUAAUUCCAGCAAGAACAGCAAAGUAGAAUAAUUGCCAUGUAAAGAUAACUUCAAAAUCUAUGCAAAAAGGCUAAAAAUUGUGAAACAAGACAAGGAAAACAACAAAGUUAAUAUAGAAAUGAAGAAUGUUUUCUCAGAUGGCAUAAAAGAUGUGCUGACCCACAAAAAGAGGUUUCUUUGCAUUAAGUCGAGACCAUUGGCCUGUUUCACGCCAACGAUUGCACAGUUUCUCCAUCAACUUAUAACUAGGGAAGAAUACAAGAGAGCCACCCGGAACAACGUUGCAUAUUUCCUCUAUAGAUUUGCCAAGGGCAUCCUUCAAAACAAUAUAUGUACAACCAAUAAUUUAUUGAACUAUAAAAGAGGAGACCACUCUCAGACAAUCAAAAUCAAUGUGACAAAAAGCAGAAGAUACCUGAAAAGCAUACCCAUCUGCAGUUUUAUAACUUGCAUUCAAUGGAUAAUUAUCUGGACCAGUGGAGAUUACAGAAGUCAACACCUGCAAAACAGUUGAUGGUCCAUAACUGCAAUAGUAGUAUAACAAACCAAAACCAAUUAGCAGAGAGAUGGAGGAAAAUGGCAUUCAUACCUGCAAAUCAACAUCGAUGACAUGCGGAGCCUCCAGACAAGUUCCGAAUUGAACUCCAAGCUCAGAAGAGAAGGAAUUCAUUGGUGAUAAGGUCCUAUUUUCAGAGAGAUGAGUACUAGCGUAAAGGAAAGAUGCUACUUUGGGUCAUGCAACUAAAGCAAAGAGAUAGUUUGUAAAAAAGGGCAAAUGCACAGCUUUUACUCAAUCAUAUGGUAUGAGACUGACCAGACAUGAAAAUAUUAUCUUGUAGUCCAACAUUCAAUACUAAGCAGCAGACCAUGGCCAAUUUUGGAAAGAGUAUAUCUGUCCUUAUGGAUAUAAUGGGGAGGUAUAGUGACCUCCACUUAGUUGCUCAACACAUACUCAUGCAUUGAAGGUAGUAAACAAAAGUACAAGAUGUUUCCACAAUAUGCAUACAUGCCUUGUGACUGAGGAAUCAAGCAGUUUAAAAUCAGCUUGCAAUGUCAUAGCUUACCCCGAUGUUAAAAUAAUAGACAAAGAAAGCUCAGCAACAUCCUUGAAAACAACAGCUGGAUUCAAGCACCACAAACUUAAAGUAUGUGUCCAGUUUCCACCAGGGUUUUCUGCAUGGAGUAUUAUUCAUUAACAAUGCUGGCCAUCAGUUUUCUCUAAGCAAGAAAGCCCAUGUUAAAAUGGACCAACAAUAACAUAUCCUAUAACAAAAAAAGUUGAACAACAAAAACAGUUGAACACUUGAUGGCAAGUAAUAAUAACAUAUUGAGAAGGAACAGAUAAUAACAGAGAUCAAGAUUAUGGAGUUCACCUAAUACAAUUCAAAUGUAGAGUCAAUUCCAUAAAUGGCUUAAUGCAGAAGUUCAAUAUAGACAUUUUUUCUCUAAAAAUUCCAAAAACUAACGUAUAUUAAGUUGGUGGAUACAGUUUCUUAGUGAAACAGUAUCAAGAUCCCCUGAUACAUGAAUUUUCCAAUCAUCUUAUUAAGGAAUCUUACAUAGCUAGGGGUUUGGUUUGAUAAUGACUGGUGCAUAAACCUGUUAGGCUUUCCAUCUGCUACCAUAAGCCCUUAGACUGAUUUUCAAUCACACUUGGCCAAAUAAUAUAUUACCUAUAAGAGUUUGGUCAGCAAUGUCUAUAUAAUUAUUUCACAAAUUCAAACCAUAGGUUCAUAAUCUAUUGACUUUCAUUGAUGACAAAAUUAAAAUGACCCUUAAAAGAAUUAAUCAAAUCAUCAAGUAUUGACCACUUACUUGAAUCUCUUUUAAUAUAUUUCUGUAAAGCAAGCUGAUAAUCAGAUACAUGAGAACCGUUUCUUGAGAAGAAAUAGGUAAGUGAGGAGAAUAACCCUGUUGCAUUUUCAAAGGCAAUCAGUAACAAUAACAAAUGUUCAAUAGUUAAUAAAAAAGCUGUGGGAUCAGGUCACUAUGACAAGAAGACUUGUACCUUCCAAUGUUAUGACUGACAUGCCACUCAGAUGAGGUAACUCCGAUUCUGUGUCUGUAGCUUCUUUGAUUGCCUUUGACCAAACAAAGAAAGUUUAUAAACUUUGGAAGCUAGUCAGAAUCAAACCCCCAAAACUUUCUUAACAGUGUACCUUUGUGGCACAUUCUAGCAAUAUUGGAAAGCACUGCCGUGAGAUGUUAGCUUCUUGGAGUUCUCUUAAAGCUUUAUCACCAGUCCAACUUCAAUAUAAAAUGACAACAAUAAGAUAAAUAAAUGAAACAAAUUUGAUUUUGUUAUUUACAAAAUUCAUACUCUAAUAUGAGUUACUCAAGAGCAUAGUAGUGCAUUCAAUAAUUCAUUUAAAGAAACUUCUUGUAUAGCUAAAACAACUGACCAAGAGAAGAAGUGCUGAAAUUCCCGCUUUGCUAAUGUUGCUUUCCUGCGCUCAAUCCAGCCUACGAGGUCCUAUACAUCCAUAACUCCCACCAUUGUCCAAGAUCCAAUGAUGUAAUUUGAAAGCCAGAACUUGUGAAUAAAAUGACCAAAAUUUACCUGGGUCAUUUCAAUUAAUGGUUGGUAAAUCAUGGGAUUAACAGAGCACACUUGCUCUAGUUCCAUCUGCAAUUCUUUCAUAAGCCAUAACCACUAUAAGCCCCAAGAAUCACAAAAUUUCAAAAUUACAUAGGAAUUUUUUCUGAACCUACUUAGCAAAACAUCUUCAUCAAUAUCCACACUACCGGCAUCACGGGCAAUGUCUUCGAUAUUGCUGAAAAAAAACAAAUUAUGUCUGUAAGUGUUCAACUCCAGAGAUAAUAAAAAAUUUUAAAAUCAUUUACUUCUUCAGCAUGACCUAAAGAACUUAAUAGAAGUUUAUAGGAAAAUAAGUAAAUAAAAGUUGUGAAACAUACUGGGCUUCAUCAAGAAUUAAAAUGGCUCCUUUAAUAUCAACUUCCAUAGCACCCCGAAUGACAGGAUUAAUGAUGUAGCUGUAGGGACAAAACACCAACUGCGCAUCAUCUGCCAUGGAGCGUGCAGCAUAAUACGAACAUCCUGAAAAAUGCAUAGCCUCAAUGAAAUGCUUGUUGCCCAAAAUUGUAGUAUUUCAUGUGUAGAAUGAAAAUAUGAGAUGAACCUCUAACGACUUGUCCAACUUUCACCAGAUCUUCAAUAUCAUGAACCUCAUGGCAACCUCCUUUCUGAAGUGAUGGGUGACCUCUGACUUUAUGCACAUUUCUGUUUGAAAUAAAAUUAUUAUUAGCCCAUACUUUAGCUUUUUCCAUUAGCAGUAGCAUCAGACAUCACUAAGAUUAAAUGAGCAUGUAAAAAUAGAGAAAUAACUUACUUAAAUUGAGGACAACCCAAAUUUCGAUCCCCCAAAAGCAGCUUGCUAGAAAAAAAAUAGUUAUCAUGAGAGAAUGAAAGCAAAAUCUUGUUGAUGUGUUUGGAAAAAAAAAAAAAAAAAAAAAAAAACCACACCAUUCUUCAUCAAUAUUCUCUUUGUCACGUACGUACUUGUUUGUGCAAUAAUGUUUACGCGAAGCCUGAUGGGACAUGAAAUAGAAGUUAAUAAACUCAUAUAAGCUUGAACUACACCACUAGUAGGGAUAAACAUUUUUAUUUAAUAUGAAUUUUUUUUCAGAUUGCUUCAUUUCAUAGAGAGUUCCAAAGCAAUAUCAACCUCUAAAGCAAUUGCUAUUGGUUUCAUCAAUAUUGACUGUCUUCCUCACUAAUCACUGACAGCAUUAAAAUUAAAAACACUCAAAUGCUAACAGAUAAAACUCAUCAAAGACAUCAGCAAGCAAUAAUUUUCAGUCUAUAAUUUCUGGAGAAAGAACAAGGACAGAAUAUGUAAAAUGUAACUAUAGUCAUGGGUGUUGAAUGGAUGAUCUGAACAAGAGCCAAAGGACUCCAUAAAGCCCAGUGCUAAAACAAACCUAAAACAAAUAGAUUAUAGUCAUGGGUCAUUAAUAUAAGGAUGUAUUAAAACAUACCAACACUGCCAUUGGCACCCGAUAAGCAGUUUUCUUGUAUUCAGAAAUCACUUGAGAAAUUUGUGAAUGUGUCCUCCUAGUGUGAACAGAAAACACACAAAACCAUUAAUAUGCGCAAAUUCUUAAUUAGCAUUCAUAAGAGUAAAAACUUUUUGCACAGAAAUUACAAAGAUCAAAUAGUGUCCGGUAUCUUGCUCGCUUGGCCUUGCUCUUUCCCUUUAUGAAUCUCACAUAAUUAUUACUGGCAAAGCAGGACAGGUUUGAUGAACACAGUGAACUCAAUCUAUUCACAAACUACAAUCUCUUAAAACAUCAGAAACACCAUGACUUAAUUAUCACAGCUUAAUAAGCGUACGUAAAAGUAAGAUUAUAUCAAAAUUUAACUUAAUAUAAGAUAUAAACCGUCAAUUAAACAGAUACAACAAACAUAUAGUAACUCGACAAGAUAAAACUCACGAUGCAUAAAAUAUUGUAGGCGUCAUCUUUUUCUUCACAUUCUUGUUGUUCAUCGCAACCUGAGCCGUCUCGCCAUUUGUUGACGGCGGAAUAGCUAACAACACGAAGCAAUAAUAAUCAUGUCAAUAGCAAUGAAACAUUUUCAUUUUCUCAAGUUUUGAAAAAUAUUAAAUCAAUAUGAUGACGUGGCAUUAUUACUUGAAGGCUGUGAUUCGGGGAUGAAUCCACCACCAUUUGCCAGAGGAUCGGUGACGGCCUCGGUAUCAGGUUUGGAGUGAGAGAUGUUUGCUAACUGAUUCUUUAAUUUACAACUCUGCUGCCAAGCGAGAGUCGAGCAAAGAAGCGAGAGAGAUUUUCCAGUACCGGUCGGAGACUCGAGUAAUGCGUGACAGUGACCGUCUCUUUGCGCUCGAUCAAGCGUCGCUAUCACGCGGCACAUGAACACAAGCUGCGACCCGUACGGUUGGUACGGAAACUCCACUUGGAUUCCCCCGACGUGGUACGCAUUUUGGGGCUUUCUGUAAUUAGGGUUUGGGUUUGCCUCUGAGACCAUUUUUGCAUUUCUAUUUGGAGAUCUUGGAUGAAAGAAACUGAGAUAAAAUAUUGAGAGGGAGCUCUAAAAGUGAAAUGAAAUGGAUGUUUUGGGAGUUUUGGCGGGAAUUAUUUUUGAGUGAGGCGGUAAAUUCUGCACCGCAGGGUUGAACAGUGAGCACAAUUUUAUUAAGCAACGUAUCAGCAUUGGCGUGAUGAAUGUGUUACGCCAACUUCGAACCUUUUCGUAAAUCGAAAAAUGACAAUCGUCUGGUUUUGGCACGUAAGAUUAAAUUAAAUUAAUUAUAACCAAAAUUAAAAUAUUAUUUCUUUUUUUAUCUUGAAUUUCAAUUUAUUUUUUUUAGAUAUUUAUUUAUUUUAGGUUUUUUUUUUAAUUUUUCACUUAUUUUCAGACAAUUUUAUCUGAAUAGACAAAAUAAAAAAAAAUCCACUUUUAUUUGAAAGUCCGAAGUUUAAAUGAAAAAUUUUAAUUUCAAAUCUCAAAAAUACGCUUAACAAUUCAUGUAUUUAUAAUAUUAUGUAUAAACCUAAUAAUUUUAUAUUAUUCUUGAAGUUAUUUUUUUAAUUGCUUUAAAUUUUUAUUCACAUGAUAGCAUUAGCUAAACUGAAAAUAUUGAACAAAUCAAAUUAUGUCCAUUGUGAUAAAUCAAAAAUAAAAUAACAAUGUUAACUUUAUAAUAAAAUUUGAUAUUAUAAUUACAUCUUUUAAUAAAAAAUUAAAUUAAGAUCAACAAUGAUAGUAUUUUUUUUUAAUGCUACCAAACUAAUCAACUUGUGAAAAUUAUAAAUUAUGAAGAGUAAAUAUAUGCACCACUUGAAAUGGUAUUUAUGUCAAACUACUAACUUUUAAGUUUUUCUCUUCAAAUGUUGAAAAUGAAAAAAAUAAACACGUCAUUCAUAAAAUUUCAUUCAAACCUAUUCAGAUUUCAACUAAAUCCAAAUCUAUUCAGAUUUAAGAUAAAAAAACAAACACAACCUAAGUUUUUUUUAGCUUUUGACAUAACAAGUCAACAUAAAUUAAAUUUAAAAAAUACUUUUUUAACUUUGACUUUUGUAUUUUUACUUCUUCCCUCUAUGUUUAUUCUUAUUCUCUAUUUCUCUUCCAUCAGGUUCUAGCCCACUUGAUUCACCGUGGUCUUUGGAUGGUGAGUAAGUCCAGAAACAUGAAUCACGCAUGGCCGCCCCAUGCCAUACGUUUAAAGAUGGCAAAUUCUCCAUCUCGUCCCUCAAUAAAUUUAAUGGAAAUAGGGAUGGAGAUGAAAAAUCCCUAAAUAAUGAAUAAUUUUAUCAUCUCUAUUUUAUUUCUUAUUUAUUUAUUUUAUAAUAGAUAUGUAUAAAUGAUUUCAGUAAGUUGAAAAUAAAGACUUAAAUAAAAUUAUUAACAUAUUAUAAAAUAUUUAAAUUAUUUAAAAAAAUCUAUAAAAGGUUCAAAUAAUAUCUUAAAAUAAUAUCAAAAUUAAAAAAUAUUUGAAGGGUGCAGUACAUUAAGAGAGAAAAGAAAACGUAACAAUAUUUUAAUGUUGAAUAAGAAUUACAAUGUAAAGUUUUCGUUUAGUUGUAAUCUAUUUAUAUUAGGUAAAAAAAAUAUUAACCAACAUUGUAAUUGAUAAAACAAAAAUUAAAAAAAUUCAUAUAUAAUAGGAAUUGGGUAGGAAGUACAAAACCAAAUCCCACCGCACUAAGAAUUUGGAAAUUAUUUUUUCUCUAUUCUCCAUCUCAUUCUCCAAAAAUUAUUCAAAAUUCACCCCAUUUAAGAUGGGGCCUCAUGAAUUUCCAAACACAUGGAGGAUUUUGCCACCCUAACCAUACAUGUCAAAUUGAUGGAGAUAUAAAAAAUUGGAGCCCGGAAUAAUGAGAAUUCUUUUUUGAAUUAGAAGCCAUUCUUUCUUAAUUCCUAGCGGACAUAAUAUGCAUAAACCUAAUUUGAUACAUCAGACAACUUUUACAAAUUCUACUUAGUUUUUUCCUUCACCACAAGGACUACGGUUUCAUCCUUUUAUGGCACUUCUCAGAAGUCGAUGUUGGUUUGUGUGCUUUGGCUGAUGGGAUCAAGAGCUUUAUUGCACUAACGUUUCUCUUGUUUCAAUAUUUUAAUAAUCAAUGACUCAACACUUAGGUUUGUUUAUGCUAACAACAGAAUAUGGAUAAGAGAAUAUUGUGACAAAGGAGCAGAGAUUUUUUUUUUCGGCAAAUUAAAAAUUCCAAGAAGCGUUACAUGGGAUAUAUGUUGGGCAAAUAUGCUCUUUAAAAGCAUAUGUGUUUAUUUAAUUGUAAUAAACUAUUUUUCUAAUUAAUAAAAUAAAUGAGGUAUUUUAUUCAAAUAUCUUAAUUGCAUUAAUAUUUGUAUUAAAGUCCAUUUAAUCAUAUUAUAUGUAUUUAUGUGAUCACUAUGUGGAUUCACAGAAGACAUAAAUACAAGUUAUCUUAUGAUUAAAUAAAUUUAGUUCGCAGUUGAUAAAUAAAGUUGGGCACUUUAUUUAGGUAUAGAUUGUAAUAAAUUCAUUGAAUGAUUUGUCUUAAUCAUGUAUGAAUUUAUUGAUGUAGUACGACUACAUUGAACAUGAUCACAUAUGAGAUUUAAUUAACUUUGUAAUAACUGUCAGACUUAUUAAAUCUCAUAGGCGUUGAUUUUACUGUAAUCUUAAUCUUGAGUUAAUUAUGAUUUCAUGAUUGUGAUUGUUAUUUCAUUUGAGUUACCAAUGGGCACGACACAUCCUUGUGGUCAAGAUUAUCCGGUAUCUUGGUGGGAGCAAUUAUGAGUAUUGGAGUUAUGGAUUAACAAUAUAGAAUUUGUACAACACAUCUCUUGAUAGGUUUUCGGUACUUGAUCAUAGAAUUCUCCGGCCAGAGUGUGUCAACAUAUUUAGUAUGUUGAAAAUGAUCAUUAGAGAAAACCAGUAAGGAUCAAGGAAUAAGAUGUUAUUAAAUUGAUUGGACAGUUGAGAUAUCAAUUUAAUUAACGAUGUGGUACAAAGGAUUGUGCAGUAAAGAAAUCAAUGUGGCUUGGGGCGAAUUAUUAUUCGAGCAUACAAUUAUAGAAGUCAGUUCCAAUCUUUUAGUGGAGUAGAUUUGGAAUUAAAUAACUGGGCUAGUUUAAUUACAUGCCUAAUUAUUGUAGCCACUAUUGUAUGUUCCCAAAUGAUCCCCGGGUUAGCUCAUUUAAUUGACUGCACCACUACUGGACUAAUAAGUAAGAUAACUAGCUAUUUGGGUCAAAAGCCUAAAUAUAUCAUUUAGUGGGAGGCUCCAUUUAAUUAGCUUUUGUAUAAGGGGCCUUAUGUUAUUUUACAAGGUGAGUCCCCUAUUGAAAAAGAAAAUAACGUGAGUUUUAUUUAUGGCAUUUUUUGGAGCCUAGGGUUUUCACUAAAGGGUGAUAUAAAAGGCUUAUUUUUCCUUAAAGAAAAAAGAGGAUGCCACUUUAUACAGAUCAGAGAAUAAGAUUUUUCUCUCUAUUAUUGAGAGAAAAAUUUUCUCGUGCUAGUUGCUUUGGUAGUGAUAAAGGCGCCCACACGUCAAGUGCAGAUCGAACCUGAGUCAUAACCUGGAAGAUCAUUGGAGACGGAUCGUGAUCUAACAAGCGUGGUGGUGACGGAUCGUGAUCUAACAGGAGUGGUGGUGGCGGAUCGUGAUCUAGGAGCCUAAAUCACUUCAGCUUGAAAAACCAACUCGGUUUUUCAAGGUACGAUUUCUAGAAUACAAAUUCUUAUAUAUUAUAUGAGAGCGAUCUUUAAAAGGUUUUAUAAAAAUUUAAAAACCUAAUUUUUCCCCAACAAUAUAAUCUAUUGACUUGAAAGAGUUUACAAGAACCAAAAUAAUAACACGGUAAGAACCACAAAAUUUCGGCUCACAAUCUUUUCAAUUGAAUGUUGAUGCAAAUAAAAAAAAAAUUGCAUAUAAUAUAGUUUUAUUUCAAAAAAAAAAAAAACUUAGAAAAUGAAACUGUUUACACCAGGAUUCAGCAAAGCCAAAUCAUAGUCGAUAAUAAAAUAUAUGUACUUUCAUCAGCUAUAGCAUAAAAAUAGAUUAAUACCACAUUUUAUUAAGCUUUUAUCAAAUCCUGGCCAUUUUAAUUAAUAAUAUAACAUGUCAAUAAAUUUUUAAAAGUUCAGAUAGUACUAAUAUUAGAAGAGAAUAUAAAAUAGUAAAAAUGUUUAACCGGUAUCAUUAGAGUGGGUGUCAGUUAUUUUUUAUUUUAAUUUAUUUAAUGUUUUGAAGAUUGAAUUAGAUGAGUUCGAUCAUUUGAAAAUCUUAAUAAUGGGCAUUGGAUACCUUGGCCCAAUCAAAAGUCCAGAACGGUCAAUAGUAAUCAGCCCAUAUCACAUUUUCUUCAUCACGGCGAACGUGCUUAACCUCUUAACAAUGGCGUUUGCAUUUCUGAAGCUCACUAGCGAAGCUUUCAACAGUUCCUUUCAUGGCGUUUCUUUCGCGGUUUUACAGGACCAGGUACCGUUUAUCCUCCCUAAGCUCGUCAUUUUCACUGUUUUCAUUUUCAACUUCAGUUCGGUCAAACUUGUCAUACAACGAACUGUUAUCGAAUCAAAAGAAGAAUAUGUCAAGCCUCCACGAACAUCGCGUUCUCAAGGAACUAUCAGAUUUAUUUCAAAUUUCUAGUUAUAAUUCAUUUCCAAAUUUAUAUAAAGAGAGUCGUAGUAAUUCAGUUAAACGAAUAGGGAGCAGCAAGGCAGUUGACGGGUUUUUAUUACCCGAGGAGAGACUACGAGGGGUGUUCCUUCAAAAGCUGAAGGGUAAAGGCGUAAUUGAAGAUGCUUUAUGGAAUGUGAAUGUGGAUUUGAGUCUUGACGUUGUUGGUAAAGUUGUAAAUAGAGGGAAUUUGAGUGGGGAAGCGAUGGUUUUGUUUUUUAAUUGGGCAAUUAAGCACCCAAACGUAGCUAAAGAUGUCAAGAGUUAUAAUGUGAUUGUUAAAGCAUUGGGGAGAAGAAAGUUUUUUGAUUUCAUGUGCAAUGUUUUGAGUGAUAUGGCUAAGGAAGGCGUAAAUCUUGAUUUAGAGACUUUAUCCAUUGUGAUGGAUAGUUUUAUCAGGGCCGGUCAGGUUUAUAAAGCUAUACAAAUGCUUGGGCGCUUAGAAGAUUUUGGAUUGAAAUUUGAUGCUGAAUCUUUGAAUGUUGUUUUAUGGUGUUUGUGUCAACGAUUACAUGUUGGUGCUGCGAGUUCGUUGUUUAACUCAAUGAAAGGGAAGAUUUUGUUUAAUGUAAUGACGUAUAAUAUUGUCAUCAGUGGGUGGUCAAAACUUGGUCAAGUUGUUGAAAUGGAGAGAGUUUUGAAGGAAAUUGUAGCUGAAGGUUUUAGUCCUGAUAGCUUAACUUUCAGUUUUCUUAUUGAGGGUUUAGGUAGAGCUGGUAGAAUUGAUGAUGCCAUUGAGGUUUUUGAUACUAUGAAGGAGAAAGGCUGUGGGCCAGAUACGAAUGCUUACAAUGCUGUGAUUUCUAAUUACAUUUCUGUUGGAGAUUUUGAUGAAUGUAUGAAAUACUAUAAGGGCAUGUCAAGUAAUAAUUGUGAGCCAAAUAUGGAUACAUAUACCCGAUUGAUUUCUGGGCUCCUCAAAUCCCGAAAAGUUGCUGAUGCACUUGAGGUUUUUGAAGAGAUGCUGGAUCGAGGGAUUGUUCCCUCCACGGGGACUAUAACAUCUUUCCUUGAACCUUUGUGUAGCUAUGGUCCACCUCAUGCUGCGAUGAUGAUGUAUAAGAAAGCAAGGAAAGUUGGGUGCAAACUAUCCCUUACAGCUUAUAAGUUAUUGCUCAGGAGGCUGUCUGGAUUUGGGAAAUGCGGAAUGCUGCUAGAUUUAUGGCACGAGAUGCAAGAAAGUGGUUAUCCUUCUGAUGGGGAAAUUUAUGAAUAUGUCAUUGCCGGACUUUGCAAUAUAGGUCAGCUUGAAAACGCUGUUCUUGUUAUGGAGGAAUCUUUGCGUAAGGGUUUUUGCCCAAGCAGGCUUGUUUAUAGCAAACUUAGUAACAAACUACUUGCUUCAAACAAAUUAGAGAGUGCUUAUAACCUAUUUCGGAAGAUUAAAAUUGCUCGUCAAAAUGAUUAUGCUCGGCGGUUAUGGCGUUCUAAGGGGUGGCAUUUUUAAGCUGAUUUGCUUAUCUUUGGCAAGCAAACUAUAGUCUUUGUGGCAGAAGGUAGUAACUUUCUUGUAGGGUAUGGUAAUUCUACUAUCAAGUGCAAGCUUUUGUUUAACCCGAUUCUUCAUAAACUGUGAACUUAUGCUUCUGUCAUUCAUGUUAUGUCUACUUGUCUUAAUAGCUUCAACAGCAUCUUGCAUACUAAUAUUUAAAAUGAAAAACUAAUUUUAGGCUGUUGACAUAUUGGUGUUUGUGAAGCUUACGAUUUUUUAUUUUCUAUAUUCGUGCAUUAAAAAAUAGCUGUCUUUAUGAAAUUCUUUAUCCUUGUUGCUUUAUGCGUAGGUGCACAUUAUUCCUGUGGACUAGACCUUGAAGGACAAGUAUGCUAUUCCGUUUGCUUGUUACCAGAGCCUUGGUUGUUCAUGGAAAGAAGAGUUAAUGCUAACAUUCAAGGUGAAAUUUUAACCAGAUUUUGAACUCAAUCACAGGCUCACAGCAGUACUUGAUUGGAUUGUUAAAAUAUGUGGUGCAGGAAGUAGAGCGGCCUGUCACUGUGAUAAUCUUGGUUCCGGUUCGGAAGGCCUUAUGUGCUGCUAAUGAUAAAGGAAAAACCAUGGACACUAUUUCGGGAAAUUUUAGCUGAUGUUGUUAGGGAUUUCCGUGCUGACAUGUUUUAUAAUAGAAGCAAGCAGAGCAGAACAAUAACUUUUUUAAGCUUCCUCUGUUCAGCAAUUUUCUAAAUUUAUUGUAUAACUCAAGUUUUUAAAUCUAAACGAUUGUCUUUGUUUACUUGUUUUUACACCCUAACAAUUAUUUCAAAACCGCCGAGGUUUAUAUUCAUUCUAGAAUGGCAUUAAUUUAGACCCUCUCAACAAUCAGACGGAAAGAAAAUAUUGUUCUUUUGAAGCUGCGUGAUGUGGAUCCUGCUGAUCCAAUUCCCAAGCCGAGCUGAGCCCUCGGAUAAAAUGUCUAAAAUGAUAAAUUGCCGAAUAGACUGUAGUAACUAAAAUUAAACAAGAAAAGAGGGGGUAAAUGAAAUAUUUACGCCAAAGCCCAAGGGCCAUAAGUUAAAAAAAAAUAAUGAUAAUAAUAAGGAAAAGAGAUAGAUCCUGUGACAGUCUGCGUUCCUUACGAUCGAGAGAGACUGUACAGCCAUUUUUGCAAAGGAAAUUCUCUUCUCUCGCUUUAAUCUUUAAUUAAUUGUUACUUAGCUUCCAAAUCCCCAUAUCAUCUUCUCGAUCUAAACACCUUAUUUAAAUUCCACCAAUUCGUCGCUGCACUAUUAAAGAUUCCUUUCGCCGGUUGUUGCAUCGUCGCUUUGAUGCUUUAUAUUCAAUUGAUUAAUUAUUUCAUUUCACGGUUUGAUCGGAGACUCGGUUAAUUUGAUCAAUUUUGAGUUGUUUUUUCGGUUAGUUUAGAAUCUUAGAUGGCGGGGCCAAAUCAAGAUCAAUUCGAAUCGUUUUUUAGGAGGGCCGAUUUAGAUGGUGAUGGUCGAAUUAGUGGAGCUGAAGCUGUCGCGUUCUUUCAAGGAUCUAAUUUGCCCAAACAAGUCCUUGCUCAGGUUGCUUUUUUAACUUGUCUAUCUUUCAUAUUUAAUUUCGACUUACUGCUUAUUCCCUGUUGAGUAGAAUUUCUGUUUAUAUUUAGAACCUAAAUUAUCUCAAAGCUGUUUUUCUGGUGUCACAAUGUGAAAUUUAUUGAUAGUUUGAAACCUCAUUGUUACUUCUCAUAAUUAGAAAGUUUGCUGGCUAUUUCUGUCUAGUCAAUACGUUUAGUUGGUUACUACAUUCGUUAUUUUUUAUAUUUACUGAGCUUUAAACCUUAUUUUCCUGGAUCUCCUAGGAUAUAAAUAUCAUAGGAAAAUAUGAUUUGAUUAAUGAUUUAGGGAGAAGUAAAAAGAAUUACGUUCUUAACUUCAUUUUAUCUGUGAAACCAUGUUCUAGUUAAGUGACAUUGUUCUUAAGCGUAUGCAGUAUUAAGUGACAUUGUUCUGAAGCAGAUGGAUUGCAUUUAAUGUCUUGUAGAUUGUCAUUGUUCCUGUUGUGUAAGGACGCCUAAACCUGAUUUGACAUUGCGCUUCAUGAUAACGAUGCAUGCUACUCAAACAUUUUCUUUAUGGAUGCAGAUAUGGAUGCAUGCUGAUCAUAACCAUACUAGUUACCUUGGCCGGCAAGAAUUUUAUAAUGCUCUCAAACUUGUAACUGUUGCCCAGAGUAAGCGGGAACUAACACCAGAUAUAGUCAAGGCUGCACUCUAUGGUCCUGCGGCCACCAAAAUACCGCCGCCACAGAUCAAUCUUCCAGCUACGCCUGCUCAACAAAUAAAUUCAACGGCUGCUGUAUCCGUUCCACAAAUGAGUGUGGCAACACAAAUGGCUCCUCAGAAUUUUGGUUUUAGAGGACCAGGAGCUCCAAAUGUUAGUCAGGUCCAGCAGCAGUCUAUUAGACCAUACCAAGCUGCUCCCCAUCCAACUCAGGGUUCUGUUGGUCCAGACUUCUCUCGGGGAGGUAGUGUGAUGGGUCAAACUCAAAUCAUGCCAGGGAGUACUGCUCCCCGUCCCCCUCAAACCAGGCCUGCUGGUACUGCUCCCAGGCCGCCUCAAUCCAUGCCUGCUAGUACUUCUCCCCACCCACCUCAAUCCAUGCCUGAAAGUACUGCUGGUCUGAAUGUGCCAAACUCAAACAUAUCCAGUGAUUGGCUUAGUGGAGGGGCUGGUGGAGCUUCAACUGGGUCAAGAGCAAUCAGUCCAACACCUCUGAUGCCAACAAAUCCUCAAACUCCAGUUUCAUCGUCUUCACAGCUUAUAAAUAAUAAAUCUAAAGCAUUAGUUCCUUCUGGAAAUGGUUUUGCUUCUGAUUCAGUUUUUGGAGGCGAUGUGUUUUCUGCAAUUACAACUUCUCCGAAACAAGGGCCUUCUUCGUCAGCUUAUUCGGCUAGCACUUCGCCUACCUCGUCUGCCAACAUUCCAGUUUCAGGUGCUGCUCAACCUUCAAGUAAGCCCUACCCGCUCAACUCGUUGCAGAGUGCUUUCUCUAUGCAACCUGCAGGCAGCCAGAGUCCGCAAAACCAGUUAUCUUUGAACCCAGGACAGAAAAUUUCUUCUCAAAGUUCAUUAUUUGCUUCAGCUGGGAUUUCAGUGGGGUCGGGAAAUUCAACUCCUGAUAAUUCGCAGGUUCCAUGGCCAAAGAUGAAACCAUCGGAUAUUCAGAAAUAUUCAAAAGUGUUUAUGGAAGUAGAUACUGACAGCGAUGGAAGAAUCACUGGCGAACAGGCGAGGAAUUUAUUUAUGAGUUGGAGGCUACCAAGAGGUAAUUUCAUUUUUCUUCUUGAUAUGUCUCUUUAUGCUUGGCUUUUUACUUCAUUUUACUUCUUAAAGUUUUAUACCUAGUUUCUUAAAGGCAGUUGCCCUUCUUGUUACAAUUGCCAUAAUUUUCAUUGCACCAACUCAAUUUUGUUAAUGAAACAACAGAACCUACGUUUUGAGAGAUACACAGAGAUAACCACAACCCAAUAAUCAGCUUAGUGGGUUUUGCCUUCAACAGACAUUUCGUGCAUCAAAUUAGCACUGACCAUGUCACAUAGCUCUUGGGCCCUCGAAAAAAUCAAUUGAUUACUAACCCAAACAUGGACUGUAACAAAAUCAACUAACCUAACUUACACAGAUGCUAUCUCUCAUUUUUAGGUAGAUUAUGACCAAAUAUUUUAGCCUUGGAAGGUAUAAAUCAUGCUUUUACGCUGAUGGUAAAAAACAGUUCCUUGCUCUGAUUUGUGCAUCGCAUUGCAUCUUGUUAAGCUUUGUGUCCCCUUUUUCAUGGAUAUUGCAGAAACUUAGUUCUGUUAUUGAAUUACAGAUGUUAAUUUUUUUUCCUUGGCCUUUUUUAGAGGUGUUAAAGCAAGUGUGGGACUUAUCCGAUCAGGAUAGUGAUAGCAUGCUUUCUUUGAGGGAGUUCUGCUUUGCUCUCUAUUUGAUGGAGCGGUACAGGGAAGGCCGCCCUCUUCCAGCAGUGCUUCCAAGGAAUGUUAUGUUUGAUGAGACGCUGUUGUCCAUGACAAGUCAACCACACAAUACUGGUUAUGGAAAUGCAGCUUGGGGUCCUGGUCCGGGUAUUUGUUAGGAAUUCUUAUGAUCUAUAAGAUAUUUCUCCUUUCCCCUCUUUAGCUCCCAGCAUGUUUGUUGACGGCGUAGUUGUUCCCUUAAUUUUAUUAGGUUUUGGACCGCAGCAGGUGAUGCGUCCUCAAGCAAUGACACCAGCUGGUGCUUCGAGGCCUCCAAAUUUGCCUACCCAUCCUACUGCUGAUGGUGCUAGGAUGCCCAAUCAGCAAAAGCCAAGGGCACCUGUAUUGGAUGAUAACUUUGCGAACCAGCUUGAUAAUGGAGAGUAUUCAGCAGACUCAAAGCUUCAAGAUUCAAUAACUGCAGGAAAAAAGGCAUUCUCUUUAUUUCUUUCUUGGUUAUUACAAUACAGUUCUGCUGUUUAAAGGAUUUUGUAAUGUUUGACACUUCUGCUCUUCAACUGAUUAUAUGAAUUUUUUUUUAAUUCCUUGAAAGGGUAGUGAGAAUUUGAGUUUUAGACUUUUCUGAGGUUUUGAAUUAGUAACUGCUAGCUUUCAAUUAUACAUAUACCUCUCUUUGAAGUAUGAAGGAAUAAUUUCUUUCUGCAUGUAUGGUAGGUCGAUGAAAGAGAAAAAGUAAUUUUGGAUUCCAGAGAGAAGAUUGAGUUUUACCGCUCAAAAA